UGCAGUUCCAAAGUGGGCUAAGCAGGAUAUGCUCUUCUCCUCGUUUUGCUGGCAUUACGAAGAUCAUUGCUUCUACUCUGUGAAUUAUCUUCACUGAUGCUGGUAUAGUGUGCCUGGCAGUGCUUACGACGCAUUUGAAGAGACAGGCUAUGCGAUCUGCAUUCCCAGAUUUAUUUCAUGCACAGCCGGACAUGCCCUUUCAACUGGUUACGAUGCUUAAUCCAGCUGUGUUGCGGGCUAAAGGUGUGCCUGUCUGCACAACUUUGCAGGAGUCUGGAAACUUUGUGAUCACAUUUCCACGGUCUUAUCACGGAGGAUUUAACCACGAAGCUUUCACCGUUGCAAGCAAAAGCUUUGAACCGAGACAUUUUGCUUCUGACUUCUGAUGCCGAGAGAAAAGAUUCCACCUCUGGGGUCAUGGCAGCCAGAGUCUCGGGUUUGAUCACCAUCACGUCUGCGGCAAUGGUGUGGUCUCUGGUACAUUCAUUGUCUACUUCUCUGGAUCUCCACCAGCUGAUUGUUCACACGAAAAAUUCAAGAAGCUCCCUUACCUUCAAGGCCGAUCGAGCAACAUAACUCAGCGGGAGCGCCUCUAAUCUGGGGCAUCCAAAGCCAUAGUGACGAGGCAGAUUCAACCAAGCUGGUGGCUGUGGGUCUGAGGAGAAGCAUAAUUACGCUGAGCGUCAUGCUGCUCCAGGCUUACCGGACAGGGUCAUACUGCUCGAAAGUCGCGCCGGCACUGAAUGAUCCACUGUUUGGCAGUCGAGAGCGGCCUCGUCUCGCAAGUUAUGGUCUUCAACGCUCUCAUCAACUAGCCCAGGCCUCUCCAGGCACAGUCGCAAAACUUCUCCGGAGAACACGCAGGUUCUUGGACGAUGCCAGGCUGCUACACAAGCUGUGUGCAACGACGCUCGAAGAACGGAUCUCCAGACGGGGUGUUUGAUUGACUGAUGAUUUGAAAUUAAAAGACAGCAUCUCAUUCGUCUGAGAGCAAAGUUU